UAUAAACAUAUAUAUAUAUAUAUACAUAUAUAUAUAUGUAUAUAUAUAUGUGUAAAUAUAUAUACGCAUACAUAGAAAGAGAAAAGAGAAAAAAACUUUUGUUUCGCUACUAUACUCUCAUGCAUAUUGCAUGUCAUCGCAUAUUUUACGUACUCCUUCAUUCGUCCUGUCUCUCUUCCCUUCUUUUCUCUCUCUUUCUCUUUCCCUUUAUAACUCGAGCCAUUCGUUACGUUUGAGAUCCUUCGCGAUAUACGGAUUUCUUGCGAAUAAAGAUCUACAUAGCUCGCUUAGAGUACGUUGAAAUAAACUUUUUUCUUUUA